UGGUGUCGUGGGAUGUCUGCCUGAUCGCGUUAACGAACGAGACCUCAACCUGCUAAAUAGCCCGUGCUGCUUCCUGCAGUUGCGAGCUUCUUAGAGGGACUACUCUGUGACAAACGAGUGGAGGUUUGAGGCAAUAACA
rnacentral:rRNA from 1 species